UACGUAGGCAGCGAGCGUUGUUCGGAGUUACUGGGCGUAAAAGGUGUGUAGGCGGUUGUUUAAGUUUGGUGUGAAAUCUCCCGGCUCAACUGGGAGGGUGCGCCGAAUACUGAAUGACUUGGAGUGCGGGAGAGGAGAGUGGAAUUCCUGGUGUAGCGGUGAAAUGCGUAGAUAUCAGGAGGAACACCGGUGGUGUAGACGGCUCUCUGGACCGUAACUGACGCUGAGACACGAAAGCGUGGGUAGCAAACAGG
rnacentral:rRNA from 1 species